GAUGAACGCUGGCGGCGUGCCUAAUACAUGCAAGUCGAGCGAAUGGAUUGAGAGCUUGCUCUUAUGAAGUUAGCGGCGGACGGGUGAGUAACACGUGGGUAACCUGCCCAUAAGACUGGGAUAACCCCGGGAAACCGGGGCUAAUACCGGAUAACAUUUUGAACCGCAUGGUUCGAAAUUGAAAGGCGGCUUCGGCUGUCACUUAUGGAUGGACCCGCGUCGCAUUAGCUAGUUGGUGAGGUAACGGCGCACCAAGGCAACGAUGCGUAGCCGACCUGGGAGGGUGAUCGGCCACACGGGGACUGAGACACGGCCCAGACUACUACGGGAGGCAGCAGUAGGGAAUCUUCCGCAAUAGACGAAAGUCUGACGGAGCAACGCCGCGUGAGUGAUGAAGGCUUUCGGGUCGUAAAACUCUGUUGUUAGGGAAGAACAAGUGCUAGUUGAAUAAGCUGGCACCUUGACGGUACCUAACCAGAAAGCCACGGCUAACUACGUGCCAGCCGCCGCCGUAA
rnacentral:rRNA from 1 species